rnacentral:lncRNA from 1 species
CCACACGCAUGAUCCGUCAGGUUAUAACAUACAUUAGUGAAUCAUAUCAUCACCUAUCUUACACCAACAAGGACUCGCUUUUGUUACGCAGUUCGAAAGCUUGAGCCUUCCUACAUAUGCAACCCCCACCGGUUUAGUUUAAAAGAGUCCUCUAUUCGAACUCACUCUAGACCUCUGUCUGUCAAAGUUGAGGUAGACAUAGGAGAAUCUGAUUCCUGACGAGGUCUUCAGCCAACUCUCUUAAAACCCUAGUACUAAAUGUUUGAGUGUGUAAUAGGGGUUUAAGACAUAGGAGAAUCUGAUUCCUGACGAGGUCUUCAGCCAACUCUCUUAAAACCCUAGUACUAAAUGUUUGAGUGUGUAAUAGGGGUUUAGAGGUUCAACCCCUCCUCCGUCUCCUGUGUCUCAGCUCUGUUGGUUGCUCACAGUUCACACGUUCACGAGACAUCAUCGUGAGGAACCAUUUUUUUACCCCUCCGUCCAAAAUCA